rnacentral:tRNA from 1 species
AAGACACUAGUAAAACAGCUAUUACACUACCUUGUCAAGGCAGUACCGCGGGUUGGAACCCCGCGUGUCUUA